CCCCUCUCAGGGUCGCGUCUGGAGAGUUUCCAGGAUGCUACCAGCCUUGGCUAUGGGAGGGAGAGUCAAGCAGGGGCCUGUCCAUUCCAUUUCUACCUUAGCCAGUGGUUAGCGAGUGGAAGGCAACCUGCUACGAGU